rnacentral:rRNA from 1 species
GGAGGGUGCAAGCGUUAUCCGGAUUCACUGGGUUUAAAGGGUGCGUAGGUGGGCAGGUAAGUCAGUGGUGAAAUCUCCGGGCUUAACUCGGAAACUGCCAUUGAUACUAUCUGUCUUGAAUACCGUGGAGGUCAGCGGAAUAUGUCAUGUAGCGGUGAAAUGCUUAGAUAUGACAUAGAACACCAAUUGCGAAGGCAGCUGGCUACACGAAUAUUGACACUGAUGCACGAAAGCGUGGGGAUCAAACAGGAUUAGAUACCCUGGUAGUCCACGCCCUAAACGAUGGAUACUCGACAUNCGCGAUAUACUGUGUGUGUCUGAGCGAAAGCAUUAAGUAUCCCACCUGGGAAGUACGAUCGCAAGAUUG